rnacentral:rRNA from 1 species
AUUGAACGCUGGCGGCAGGCCUAACACAUGCAAGUCGAGCGGAUGAAGGGAGCUUGCUCCUGGAUUCAGCGGCGGACGGGUGAGUAAUGCCUAGGAAUCUGCCUGGUAGUGGGGGAUAACGUCCGGAAACGGGCGCUAAUACCGCAUACGUCCUGAGGGAGAAAGUGGGGGAUCUUCGGACCUCACGCUCUCAGAUGAGCCUAGGUCGGAUUAGCUAGUUGGUGGGGUAAAGGCCUACCAAGGCGACGAUCCGUAACUGGUCUGAGAGGAUGAUCAGUCACACUGGAACUGAGACACGGUCCAGACGCCUACGGGAGGCAGCAGUGGGGAAUAUUGGACAAUGGGCGAAAGCCUGAUCCAGCCAUGCCGCGUGUGUGAAGAAGGUCUUCGGAUUGUAAAGCACUUUAAGUGGGGAGGAAGGGCAGUAAGUUAAUACCUUGCUGUUUUGACGUUACCAACAGAAUAAGCACCGGCUAACUUCGUG